AGAGCAAAGUGCCAGGAUUGGCCGUAAGCUUGUUGCCGCCUGCCUGAGUUCUGAAAAAUCCCCUGGAAAUGCCCUAUCCUUUCCUGUGAAUAUCUGGGCAAAUGUGAAAUGUAUUUUUUCUUUUUCAAAUAGGUCAAUAACAACAGGAAUUCUAGGAGAAAAAGUGGGGCUGCUGCUGAGUGGAAUGGGGACUUUUGGAACAGAGCUUGAGAUACUGAGACUUGAGAAAGCCUUCCUUCCUUUCAUCUUUGCUGUCCAGGCAGCUCUCAUGGAACUGUGGUGGUCAAAUACUGUAAAAUGUUUGCAAAGGUCUUGUAGGCUCUCUCUCCUUUAAUGACAUUCAAAGUUAGUGCAAACAGGGUCCUGAAAAGCUUAACCUAACUCAUCUCUGAGUGAGAGGAAAGAUGAUUUCCAUCAAUUUCUAUAGUCUAAAGUACUCCAUGAUUCUUUGAUUUGUUAGAAAUGGGAGAAAAUAAAUGUUUAUGGAUCUGCAAGCAGAUGGAGCUGAAAAUAAACAGAGAAAUUGUCAGCUUAAAUGUGCCCAGCACUGUUUUCUGGUACUGAGGCCAACUGGCACAGAAAAGGCUAUGUCCAUAUUAUUAAAUGCUUUUCACCUUCAAAAGAAGGUGGAUAUGUGUAAACAGGUCCCUGGCUUGUGCUAAACGCAAAACAUAUCUGAAAAUUGGGCUAUCUCAGCUAAGAUGGUUCAAAAGAGUGUUUGGAGCCACAGCUACAAUUUAUCUUCACAACCAACUGAUUUCUGGAAUUCAGAAAUAUUCCCCACAACUAUUUAAUUCAUUAGGACUGGCGUAACUGUGACACCAGAGAUAUUUUUUUCUUCCCACAGUAAACACAGAGAAAUAUUUAUUUUCCUGAGAACUAUCGUAGCAAUUUACUUCAGUGGAGGGCAAGUUCAGACUACUCAACUCUUCUCCAGAGGAACUUACCUGUUCUGGCCCGAACUGAAGUCCACUGAAGAGCUUUUUUGUCUGCCAAAAAGGCAUCAUUGCUAUUGAUCUGUGCUGGGUUUGUACAAGUGACCUCGGGGUGACUGCCUGUGUGAGCUCUCGCUCGAGAGAGCCUUACUUUCAACAAGCAAGGGCUUUUUUUUUCAUAUUGGUAUUAAAGCAGGCUACCUUGUGAAUGAACAGAGCAUGAAACAAAGAAUAACCGUAAAAAAAAAAAAUAAAAAAGAAAAGCAGGUUUUUUGUUGCUUGGUUGGGUUUAUUUUUUUUUUCCAAGGACAUGCCAACUUUCACUUAAAUAACACUCAUAUAAGGGGUAUAUUGCUCCAAAAUAUCCAACAGAAUUUUUUUUUGAUCCACAUCCUCUGUAACAAUCAGAGUUUUGCUUGUAGAUUACUAAGUUAACAGAAAUUGACUGGAGAAUCUUCGUGCUUAGGUGAUGCCUUUCUCAAUGCAGACCCAUAGAUGCUAAAAAAUAUAGAAUAUUAAACUUAAAAGGGAUUUGCUACAUAGACUGCAUACACACACCACAGUUGAAUCAAUUCACUGAUCCACAGGGCACAAAUUCUGUCAGAACAAUUAAAAAAAAAAAAAAAAAAAGGAAAAAAAUUCCAUAUAUCCUAAUGCCAAUGCCAUUAAUGUGGGGAAAAAAUAAAUUCACUCCUGGACAUUCUUCAUUUGGGGAUGGGAAAGGUUUUUCUUUUCCAGAAAGACAAAGCUGAGAAAGACACGUUCAUUACACCUUUGAAGGAAAAAUCAUUCAGCAGAAAAUAUAGGUAGAAUAGCUGAAGAACAAAGUAGACUCCUAAUCUUUUUUUUUUUUCUUUCCUCCUAAUGAGCAGAUUGUUUCUUUUUAUCCUUUUUUUAAAGGCAUAAAAGGAACAAUAUAAAUCCCUACAACCAAAAAAUCAGAACGAGACAAGCUGAGAAAUUAAAAUUUCACACAAAAUAUUUUUCCUUUAUCAGACUUUGACAACAUUAUGCAGACUCUAGACAGGCAACCUGGGAUAAGUUCAUAACCUCCCCUUCAGAAAUCUGAACAGCCACUAAAAUAAGCCAAUAUUAAAGUGCCAUAACAAUGACUUUAUGAAAGGAAUUGCACAGGUACAAGGAGUCAUAACCCCAUCUCAUUGGGAAUGACAGUUUCUAUGUUUCAGAAAUAGAAGAUGUAACGCUGAAGUAACACCUGGGUAUUCCAACCAACAGAAAUAACAUUGGAAGGGAAAUGAGUCUUGAGGAUAGGUGGUGAGUUAUCCACUAUCUGACACCUAAAGUUCUCAAGUAUAAAGCAUGCGUUUCCUUCAUCUGCUCUGGAGAUGCUUUAAAAAGAGCACCCAUCCAUCUGGACUGAAUCUAGUCUCCUGUUUUUUAAAUAAAUAUGACAAACUGCUGUGCUGGAUGGCUUGUUUUGUUGGAUGAAAAUAUGGCAGAUGACAAAGGAACUAAGAAACAAGCAAUCUCUAAACAAGCAAUCUCUAAAGAUGGAAGCAAAAUGAAGGAGCAGUGGGAAAUCAAAGGCUGUCGUAUGAGUCAGAAUUCAAACAAAUGAUAUUAUGAGAGAAAGAUAUGAGUUGAAGACAGCAAGACUGACCCCAUGGAAGUUUUAGAUACUGCAAUAUGAGUGAAAAGCCAGUCUGGUGGAUGACAGUCCACCAUAAAAUAUCCACACUUAUACUUGUGAAUACAUGCACACAGUGCCAGCCACCAACGAGGAGGAGGAAUGUCUGUGUUGCAACUCUUCUUCUCAGGAAAAAAAAAACAAACAACCAAACCAAGCAAAACAAAACAAAACCAAAAGCUCUUGAAAGAGUUUUAUUUUUGUGUUGUCCACAUUGUUUCUAUAAAUCUGUUGAAAUUAAUUAAGCUGUAAUGCCAUGAAGGAACUGACACCCCCAUCAUUCAAUUUUGGUAAUAAUUUGAUAAAUCUCUUAUAAAAUAUAGCUAUAUCCCAUAAAGUGGUAUUGGCUUAAAAAAACUCUAAUAUUUUCUCUCUUUUUUUUUUAAUUUCUUUAUAAAGUGAGUAUAUAUUUAAGCAUGUGGAAUUUUUUACUCCUGAGUUUUGUGGGAUUUGACUAAUAAUGGCUUACUUCUUAUGAUCACAGAACAUUUAUCUGUACUAUGAUG